rnacentral:rRNA from 1 species
GUUUACGGCCAUGCCACCCCUGAACGUGCCCGAUCUCAUCUGAUCUCAGAAACUAAGCAAGGUCGGGCCUGGUUAGUACUUGGAUGGGAGACCACCUUGAAAUACCAGGUGCUAUCGGCA